AGACUCGUCAACUUUCUUCCGUGUCUUCAAGAUUCCUUUUAUCGUCGACUAUAACAUGAAAUUUGGUGAACUGUCAAAGUUGUUCAGAUGUAUUAAUUCGGUUCGCACGCAUUUUGACCUAUGAUUUUGACUUUUUAGCUGGAUUUAGAAGUGGAAGAACGGAGGAAGAGCACGCAUUGGGUCAAUUUCAGAGGCCCCCGGACAACUAUGAAGCUACUUCACCCAUCAGAGAGCCUCCUUUAUUUGCUCCUAACCUUUGGACCCUUUAUAGGUGGAUUGUCGAUCCCUGUUGCAGUAAACAUUGGUGAUUCUGCGAUUUUUACAUGUAAUGCGAC